rnacentral:rRNA from 1 species
UACGAAAGGGGCAAGCGUUACUCGGAAUCACUGGGCGUAAAGCGCACGUAGGCGGACUCGUAGGUCAAUUGUGAAAUCCCUGGGCUCAACCCAGGAACUGCAGUUGAAACCACUUGUCUUGAAUACCUGAGAGGGUGGGGGAAUACCUGGUGGAGAAGUGAAAUUCGUAGAGAUCAGGUGGAACACCGGAGGCGAAGGCGCCUGCCUGGCAGUGUAUUGACGCUGAGGUGCGAAAGUGCGGGGAGCAAACAGG